AUGGUGUCCUGGAGCGAUGGGUCCGAUAGCAGCGAGCACCCCGUGGAGUACGUCAGCUCAGGUUCUGACGAUGGCAGAAUUAAGAUCCCUGAUACCACUGAAGAGUCCGAUUUCGAGGGACUUGAAACGGAGUUGCUUGUUCUCUGCAAUGAACAUGGGAAGGCCGCAGAAAGGCGUGUUGCUUUCCAAGGAAUCCACACUGGCAGGAGGUUUCUUUGCUGUGCUGAGAAGGAAGGUAGAAACUGUGGAUUAGUUGAAUGGAUAGAUCCAGCUUGUCCUAACACCCUUGAGAAUGCAUUAUCCAAGUUAUGGUUUAUGUAUGAACAAAGUAAGAGAGAUAGGACUGAGGAAAAUCUUUUGCAUUCAUUUGCUGUUCAUGACUUGACACAAGAGAAGAAGAAGCUGCAGGAGCUAUGA
rnacentral:rRNA from 1 species